AAAGUUUGAGAGAGAAAACUAAAUAGCCGGAGUUUUCGUCGGAGAGUCACCGACGGAAUCAAUUCCCUACUAAGACCUACACUCUGGAGUCCUUCUUGGAGUGAAAUAAGAACUCGUGUUGUUGAGAUUUCCUCCUCUUUCGUCAAGAACAGAAAGAAAACCCGCAAGGGAAGAUCCGCCACUGAUUUUGGUGAGAAAAUCGAACGAAACAUCGAGAUCUGAGAAUCUUUCCAAGAACUGUAAGAAUGUUACCAGACCUCUUUCCGACGCUCAUAACUCAUCGUAUGACUAAGUAAAAAUCAAGAAAAAAAUAUUGACACGUAGGUUGAAGUAUGAUCUAAAACUUUGUUGAAGAAACCAUUACUGUUUGGAUUAAGAAUCGAGAGAUAGAAAAUG